GCCGUGGUGCGCCUCCAGACGGCGGUUGGGUUGUGGGGUGUGAGGGGCUGAGCGGGGCGGGAUCACCUCAGUGUGACUGUCCUCCACAGGAAGGAGUUAGUCCUAACCUCAACAUGAACCUCUACUAGUGCCAUGGGACCAUCUUAUAGGCUUCAUGGAGAUCACCCAGCUGCAAUGCCCUGCCAUGGUUCACAAAUGAGUGUUUUACCCUGUGAGCUACAAAGGAGUUCAGAGAACGCUGCAAUGAGUGACUGACACCAGUACAACCAAUCGUUGGUUACCCUUAGCAAACAUUAAAUGUGGGAGGUGUGAAGGUUCUGAAGCAAACUGGCUGCUCCUGAGAGCUGGGCACGGACAGCCCCUGUUGUUCAGCAGGAUUAAGCACGCAUGGUUUCACCUCUGCUUGGACCGAAACCGAAUGACUCCAGCUUACCCUGAACUGAGAUGAAAGAUGGCAAAGCGUGUUCUCUAAGCAGUUUUGGAACUGCUUCAGUCAAAGUCUUCGCCUGCUGGGAGGACAAGAACUCGAGCCUUGGAAAGCAACGUUGGUUCUUUCUGCAUUACCCAAACAUUCCCAGCGGAGCAUUACUCCGUAGGACUGGCGAUGAAUAGAGACUCAGACUCAACAGUUGCAAUUCAGUUGCUAGUAAACAGCAAAUACCGUCUGCAAGGCUUACAGACCUCAGAUCUUUGAACUGAAAGGAAUCCAGAAGUAAAACGACAUGAAAGUGUUUUUAUCAGCCAAACAAUCUGUGUCAGCAAAGGACGAUUUGCCAAAGUAAUGAGCUCACGGCAUCACCAGAUAGUGCAUAAUACCGAGGGGCUGAGCUUCAUUAAAAGAAUAAUGGCAAGCAUAGUUCUAUGAAGGCUUUUCCUUGUACUUAAACACAUCCACAGCAGCAGGUCAAUAGCAAACAUCGUCACACCUGUGUUAAGAAAGGGAAUUUGGGGCAACACUGCUGAGCUCUCAGUUCUAUAGAUACCAUAGAUACCACUACAUAUAGAUGUAGUCUGUUCUUCCCUAGCGAGCUACAUGAAAGGGAAGCGUCCUAGAUGAAAGCUUGAGGUGCUGAGGAAACAGCUGUCCAUGGUUCUUCUAGCUCUGUGUCCAUAACACACACAGGGCACUUGUAAUAAUGUUAAAACAAGGGACUCUUUGCACGCUUGUUUGAAAACUGCAAAUUCAUUCUGGCUUCCUGCAUGCUAAUUUAUGCAGACAGGCACAACGCUGUCUGGAUGGAAUAGGGCCAAAAGACUUUGCGCUAAAUAUAAUGUGAGGGGAAAAAAAGCAUCUAUCAGUGGCUCAAACCUAACGUAGGUCUGAAAAAUGCUGUUCCUGCGGAGUGAGAUGGAGGGCUGCAUUUAGGCAAUUCCAUCCCAUACCUUCUAAGGAAGGCUGUAAAUCUGGUGCUGGAAGAGCAAGCGGGCUUACAAGAAGUCACACCUGUGCAGCUUGGAUGGCGUUUACAGGUAGUGCUGACCAUGUGAAAUUCCAACCUACCACCAAUAAUCCCUUUCCACACAGCUCACGGAGCACAAUCUCUUGCAGGAAGCGAGAUCUGAAGAAAGGGCUUCCACAAACACCAAACGGAAGUUGGAGGGUUUAAUUUCUUCCAUCUACCAUUAUAAAAGUCUCAUCGUCAAACGUUACAGUACAUUUACAGCAGCAAAACCCCAACGGCCUCCCUCACAUCCAAUACAGAGUUGCAUUUGAGUCGUACAGACAUCAGUUGACACAUCAACACAGUGGGAAGCCUGGUUCUCUGGCACGUCCUUUCCCACACGGUGCCUGCAUAGCACAGUACAGAGCAAUGCUGGAAUCCCCAGUUCACAUGGUCUGACCGACAGCCCUAUAGCUCCAAUGUUGUAAAUAAGGAGGAAAUCUGCCACUGGUUUGUAUAACAAUCAACAGUUUAUUAAUGGAUAUGGUGAAAUUGUAGCUAUCCACCAAAGAUGUGUAAAAAAUUGUCAUGAAAGUAAAAAUAAAUAAAGCUGUUUUUAAAAUCA